rnacentral:pre_miRNA from 1 species
UUCAUACUCCCUCCGUUCAACUUGUCAAAAUUUGGAUGUAUCUAGACAUAACUUGUUAUAUAGAUGCAUUCAAAUUUAGUCAAAGUUGAGACAUCCUUUGUUGGACGGAGGGAGUAUAUA